rnacentral:lncRNA from 1 species
UUUUAUAGACUGGACGUGGGCUGACGCCCCGGGGGGUCCGCCCCCCCCUCGCCCCCAGGAUACAGAGCGAUGUCACCGAGCCCUGGUGGCCCUUUUUGGGGACCACCCCAACUCCCCCUUUGGGAUCCACCGCCUGGUGGAGCUCGGCCGCGGCGCUGGGAAGCGUGCAGGGGAUUGGUACGGCCCCUCCAUCGUGGCACACAUCCUCAGGUCAGACCCCAAAAGGAUGGCNNNNNNNNNNNNNNNNNNNNNNNNNNNGGGGGGGGGGGCUCUGACCCCAAAUGAUGGGUCUGGGACCCCACCCUGAAAGAUUUGGGAUGCAGGAAGGCGGUGGAGAGCUGCCCCGAGGUGUCCGGGAUGGCGGUGUACGUGGCGCAGGAUUGCACCGUGUACAAAGAGGACGUGGCUGCGCUGCUGGAAGGGGACGCUGAGGCAGCCGUCAUCCUGCUGGUCCCCGUCCGCCUGGGGGGGGAACGUCUCAACCCCGUCUACGUGGAGGGCAUGAAGGCCCCGUCUGCAGCACUGCGUCCAAGUCUGGAGCCCCCAGGACAAAAAAGACAGGGAGCUGUUGGGGAGGGUCCUGAGGAGCCACCAAGAUGAGCAGGGGGGCUGCAGCACCUCCACUGUGAGGACAGGCUGAGGGAGCUGGGCUUGUUCAGCAUGGAGAAGAGAAAACUGCGGGGUGAAUCAUUGCAGCCUUCAGCACCUCAAGGGAGCCUGAAAACAGGAGGGGAAUCGACUCUUGGAAAGGGUUGAUCACUGCAGGAUGAGGGGAAACGGUUUGGAGUUGAUUGAGGUUGGAUGUCAGGGAGAAAUUGUUUGCUGUGAGAGCGGUGAGGUGCUGGAACAGCUGCACAGAGAGGCUGUUGGUGCCCCGUCCAUCCUUGGAGGUGUUGGAGGCCAGGUUGGAUGGGGCCCUGGGCAGCCUGGGCUGGCAGGAAAUGGGGAGGUUGGUGGCCCUGCAUGCAGCAGGGGGUUGGAGAUUCAUCAUCCUUGAGGUCCCUUCCAACCCAACCAUUCUGUGAUUCUGUGGGGACACCAUGGGGACACCCAGGGGACAGUGGGGGGGGGUCCCAAUCUCUGCAUCACAGGAACACUGGGUGACAUGGGGACACUCGAAGGGGCACCCAGGGACACUGGGGGUCCCAAGUCCAUGACAUGGGGACACCCAGGGGACAGUGGGGGGGGAUCCCAAGCCCAUGAACGUGGGGACACCCAAGGGACACCCAGGGGACACCCAGGGGGACACCCAGGGGACAGUGGGGGGGGUCCCAAUCUCUGCAUCAUGGGAACA